CUACGGGAGGCUCCAGUGGGGAAUAUUGGGCAAUGGGCGAAAGCCUGACCCAGCAACGCCGCGUGAAGGAAGAAGGCUUUCGGGUCGUAAACUUCUAUCCUAGGUGAAGAUAAUGACGGUAGCCUAGAAGGAAGCCCCGGCUAACUACGUGCCAGCAGCCGCGGUAAUACGUAGGGGGCAAGCGUUGUCCGGAAUGAUUGGGCGUAAAGGGCGCGUAGGCGGCCAUGUAAGUCCGAUGUGAAAGUCCUGCUUUUAAGGUGGGAAUUGCAUUGGAAACUGCGUGGCUUGAGUGCAGGAGAGGUAAGCGGAAUUCCCGGUGUAGCGGUGAAAUGCGUAGAGAUCGGGAGGAACACCAGUGGCGAAGGCGGCUUACUGGACUGUAACUGACGCUGAGGCGCGAAAGUGUGGGGAGCAAACAGGAUUAGAUACCCGCGUAGUC
rnacentral:rRNA from 1 species